rnacentral:tRNA from 1 species
GGGCCAUUAGCUCAACUGGUAGAGCAUCCGACUCUUAAUCGGACGGUUCGGGGUUCGAUUCCCUGAUGGCCCACCA